GUGGGGAAUCUUCCGCAAUGGACGAAAGUCUGACGGAGCAACGCCGCGUGAGUGAUGAAGGUCUUCGGAUUGUAAAGCUCUGUUAAUCGGGACGAAAGAGCCUAGUGUGAAUAAUGCUAGGAAGUGACGGUACCGGAAUAGAAAGCCACGGCUAACUACGUGCCAGCAGCCGCGGUAAUACGUAGGUGGCAAGCGUUGUCCGGAAUUAUUGGGCGUAAAGCGCGCGCAGGCGGAUCUGCCAGUCUGUCUUAAAAGUUCGGGGCUUAACCCCGUGAUGGGAUGGAAACUACAGAUCUAGAGUAUCGGAGAGGAAAGUGGAAUUCCUAGUGUAGCGGUGAAAUGCGUAGAUAUUAGGAAGAACACCAGUGGCGAAGGCAACUUUCUGGACGAAAACUGACGCUGAGGCGCGAAAGCCAGGGGAGCGAACGGGAUUAGAAACCCUGGUAGUCC
rnacentral:rRNA from 1 species